rnacentral:rRNA from 1 species
AGACCCGAAACCCGGUGAUCUAGCCAUGGGCAGGUUGAAGGUUGGGUAACACUAACUGGAGGACCGAACCGACUAAUGUUGAAAAAUUAGCGGAUGACCUGUGGCUGGGGGUGAAAGGCCAAUCAAACCGGGAGAUAGCUGGUUCUCCCCGAAAGCUAUUUAGGUAGCGCCUCGUGAAUUCAUCUCCGGGGGUAGAGCACUGUUUCGGCUAGGGGGCCAUCCCGGCUUACCAACCCGAUGCAAACUGCGAAUACCGGAGAAUGUUAUCACGGGAGACACACGGCGGGUGCUAACGUCCGUCGUGAAGAGGGAAACAACCCAGACCGCCAGCUAAGGUCCCAAAGUCAUGGUUAAGUGGGAAACGAUGUGGGAAGGCCCAGACAGCCAGGAUGUUGGCUUAGAAGCAGCCAUCAUUUAAAGAAAGCGUAAUAGCUCACUGGUCGAGUCGGCCUGCGCGGAAGAUGUAACGGGGCUAAACCAUGCACCGAAGCUGCGGCAGCGACACUCAGGUGUUGUUGGGUAGGGGAGCGUUCUGUAAGCCUGCGAAGGUGUGUCGUGAGGCAUGCUGGAGGUAUCAGAAGUGCGAAUGCUGACAUAAGUAACGAUAAAGCGGGUGAAAAGCCCGCUCGCCGGAAGACCAAGGGUUCCUGUCCAACGUUAAUCGGGGCAGGGUGAGUCGACCCCUAAGGCGAGGCCGAAAGGCGUAGUCGAUGGGAAACGGGUUAAUAUUCCCGUACUUGGUGUUACUGCGAAGGGGGGACGGAGAAGGCUAUGUUGGCCGGGCGACGGUUGUCCCGGUUUAAGCGUGUAGGUGUGUGUUCCAGGUAAAUCCGGUUCACUUUAACACUGAGGCGUGAUGACGAGGCACUACGGUGCUGA